ACGUCACAGAGGGUGAGAAUCCCGUACGUGGUCGCUAACCUUCGCCGUGUAAAGCCCCUUCGACGAGUCGAGUUGUUUGGGAAUGCAGCUCUAAAUGGGAGGUAAAUUUCUUCUAAAGCUAAAUACUGGCCAGAGACCGAUAGCGCACAAGUAGAGUGAUCGAAAGAUGAAAAGCACUUUGGAAAGAGAGUCAAAUAGCACGUGAAAUUGUUGAAAGGGAAGCGCUUGCAGCCAGACUUGCCUGUAGUUGCUCAUCCGGACUUUUGUCCGGUGCACUCUUCUAUGGGCAGGCCAGCAUCAGUUUGGGCGGUUGGAUAAAGGUCUCUGUCAUGUACCUCCUUUCGGGGAGGCCUUAUAGGGGAGACGACAUGCAACCAGCCUGGACUGAGGUCCGCGCAUUUAUGCUAGGAUGCUGGCGUAAUGGCUGUAAGCGGCCCGUCUUGAAACACGGACCAAGGAGUCUAACAUCUAUGCGAGUGUUUGGGUGUCAAGCCCGAACGCGUAAUGAAAGUGAACGGAGGUGGGAACCCUUUAGGGUGCACCAUCGACCGAUCCUGAUGUCUUCGGAUGGAUUUGAGUAAGAGCAUGGCUGUUGGGACCCGAAAGAUGGUGAACUAUGCUUGAAUAGGGUGAAGCCAGAGGAAACUCUGGUGGAGGCUCGCAGCGGUUCUGACGUGCAAAUCGAUCGUCAAAUUUGGGCAU
rnacentral:rRNA from 1 species